rnacentral:rRNA from 1 species
UAUCUCUGUAGAGUCUGCAUAUCAAUAAGCGGAGGAAAAGAAACUAACAAGGAUUCCCCUAGUAACGGCGAGUGAAGCGGGAAGAGCUCAAAUUUGAAAUCUUAAAGGGUUUCCCUUUACGAAUUGUAGUUUAAAGAAGUGUUUUCUGUUGAGGUUUUGGUAAAAGUUCUUUGGAAUAGGACAUCAUAGAGGGUGAGAAUCCCGUAUUUGACCUUUACUUUCAACUUUGUGAUACACUUUCAAAGAGUCGGAUUGUUUGGGAAUGCAGUCCAAAAUGGGUGGUAAAUUUCAUCUAAAGCUAAAUAUUGGCGAGAGACCGAUAGCGAACAAGUACCGUGAGGGAAAGAUGAAAAGAACUUUGAAAAGAGAGUUAAACAGUACGUGAAAUUGUCAAAAGGGAAGCGUUUGACACCAGUGUUGUUUUCUCGAAAAUCAAUUAAAAAAAGUUGGAUUUAGUAUUGUUAAGGACCUUAUCAGCUUACUGUACUCUUUUCUUGCUUUUUUUAAUGCACUUUUCGUUUAACAAGUCAACAUCAAUUUCUUUUGUUGUAAAAGAGUCAUUGGAAGGUGGCUUUCCUUUCGGAUGAAAGUGUUUAUAGCCUUUGGCUUCUGCAAUCGGAGAGAUUGAGGUCUGCAGCGUAGAUCCUUCGGGGCUAGAUACAUUAGAUGCUAAGUUAUAGCUUUUAUAGACAACUUGUUGACUAUGAUUAAGUCAUGUAGCUUACUCGUUAUGCCUAUUUUACCUACGCUUAGGAUGUUGACGAUCAGCUGAGCGCG